rnacentral:ncRNA from 1 species
UUUGGGCAUCCAACAUCAUAAAAUUGCACGCACUCGCAUGCCUGACAAAUGUUGGUAGUGAGAGUAUGCUGAAUUGUAUUUCAAAUAUUGGGAAAGAUAAAUCCUUUGUAGACGACUUAAAUACAGAACGGGGUGUGUAAGCAUGAGAGUAGUCUUGUACUACGAUCUGCUGAGAUUUAGCCCUUGUUCUAUUGAUUUGU